UAGAGUACGCCUGCUUCAGUAUCAUCA
rnacentral:rRNA from 1 species